AGGGCAGAGCAGGAGCAAGAGGAGGCGGCGCCUGAGGCCCUGGAGUCUGAGGAGCCAGCCGCUCUGCCAGCUCCCCAGGCCCUGCUGGCUCGCCUGCUGGUGGUGGCGGCAGUGGCUCCACACGCGGGCGGUGG